GAACAUUCUGUUCUGCACAGUCACAUGAGGAAACGCACAAGCACGCACAGGCGCAGUGUUUGAACAACAUGUUGUGGGACAACGUGAUAAUGGACAGUGGAGAACUGUGGCGCAUACUGUACUAUCGAUUCUGGAAAUAGGACUAUCCCAACAACUUCCUCAAUUAUUUUCCUGUAGCGUUUACACGAAAAUCAGCGUCCAAUGCGAAACAUUAAGAGAGCGUCAAUUAACGUAGACUAGGGAAGACGAUUAAUGGGUAAUUCAUCAAAAAAAAUUCUAACGAGUAAUCAACAUUUUCAGACGACCGUAAACUAUUGCACUUUUGAUUUGACACUGUCAGUUCAAUAAUAACAAUCAAUACGAUGUUACUGCCAGUUUACCAGCACUGCGUGCAGAGGUCAGUGGCAGUGUUGACACACUGGGUGGAACAGGACCACCUGAGACCCAGACGACAUAGAGACUGAACCUGGACGUCUCGGAGAUCUCCAGACUACCACCCAGCAACACACUGUUAGUGGCGCUACCAGCCCAAAAAGGGUCACUAGGGCUCCCACAACGGAGAGCCACAGUAAAGAUGACUGAUGCCGAAAGGCAUCCGCAGAUGUCCUGGAUGUGCCUGCAGAGGGAGCGUCUGGAGGAGCAGGGGAAGGAGGCCGAUGAGGAGUGGAGGACGAAGCUUGAGACAGUCGAGCAUCGGGCCUCAACGUUGGAGAAGGACCUGGCGAGGGACUAGACAAGGGCUUCCCUUCUGGAGAUGCAGCAGCAUCGUGUCAAGGCCAGGAGACCAAGGCUAAUGUGGCCAAAGUGAAGGAGAGGUAGGCGAAGAAGAUUUCGCUCAACCGGCUCAAAUGGUUGAGCUUGAAGGUAAGAUUAGAGAAAGAUAUGAAAAGGGUUCGCAUUAGAGAAAUAUAUGAAAAGGGUUCCUGCGACCAGCUCAAGAAUGAGCUUGCAGAAGCAGAAGAGGGAGGCUGGGAAAACUGCCUGGAACAUGAGCAACACUGAGCUGGCCAAAACACUUUUUGAAAUGGAGGAUAGAAGGUCCACCAGACUGUUGCAGCUCAGCGUGAGGCGGAGCAGGGACAGGCCAUAGCCAGCCUCCUGGAGCUGGACAGGCUGAGGAGGAGCAGGGACAGGCCAUAGCCAGCCUCCUGGAGCUGGAGAGGUUGAGGAGGAGCAGGGACUGACCAGAGCCUGGUAUACUUGUUUUAUUUUGAUGUACCAAAGUUGGGUAAAUACUGUUGUUAACCAUUUCUAUGAAUUCUACAUUGUAAAUCAUUUUAUAUUCUCUUCCAGAUGAUUGACAGUAGCCGGGGGGUUUUAACCUAAAAAAGACAUAUGUUCUUCUUACUUCUGCAUAAAUAAUAAUUAAUACAUUGCAUAGGCUAUAUUGUUUAUUUGUAUAUGAUCAGUUGCUAAAAGCAAAACAUUAGCGGGUGGAUUGGCACACAAAGCGCCUCCGGACCUGUUGGGGGAGAGGGUCAGAGUUAAGGGAGGUACCCCUGGCCUCCUCGUUCCGUGGGAUUUUGGAGAGCGAGGGAUUCCUGUUUUACCGACAACUCGGAACAGCAAAUCCAUUACAGCCUGCCAGCGGAUUUAUAGCCGGGAUUCACAGACUAGCGGAGAGUAGGCUUAAACUGAUUCAUGACAUGCCUGCUCACUCAUCAUUGCUGUGAGGUGCUCUGGGCAGCUACAGUACAAGUCAAGCACCUAUGAAGAUAUGGGGAAGCUGUGCCAAAACAAAAAACAGCUAGUGUGGAAACAGUGGUCCGGACAGCUCCCCCUCAAGUCAGUCAAUGACUAUGGCUGGUUCUGAGGAUCAAAAAACAAUAAUGUGUUUACAGCAUUAAGCAUUUUUAAUAAUCACACUUGUUAAGGCAAUAACAUCGACAGACCAAAUAUUCAAACAAUAAAGAAAUCAGAUACGAGCCCAACCUUCUCUCACAUUCAAAUGAUUUUGUAUGUAUUGUCUGCGGCUACUAGAAUA